UUAUUGGAGAGUUUGAUCCUGGCUCAGGAUGAACACUGGCGGCGUGCCUAAUACAUGCAAGUCGAGCGAAUGGAUUAAGAGCUUGCUCUUAUGAAGUUAGCGGCGGACGGGUGAGUAACACGUGGGUAACCUACCCAUAAGACUGGGAUAACUCCGGGAAACCGGGGCUAAUACCGGAUAAUAUUUUGAACUGCAUAGUUCGAAAUUGAAAGGCGGCUUCGGCUGUCACUUAUGGAUGGACCCGCGUCGCAUUAGCUAGUUGGUGAGGUAACGGCUCACCAAGGCAACGAUGCGUAGCCGACCUGAGAGGGAUAAGGGCUCUUACUAGUUACUCUAUGCUUGUUUUCUUCUUCACCACUUGGAUGCCAAUCUUUCUCCUUUUCUCAUUACAGAGUAUUUACAAUCCUUUACACCUACUACCUAUUUUUAAAGAUGGCUUAUAUCCUAUUGUAAAGGCAACAAAAGAAACCAUUACUCCUUAUGCGGGCUUAGAAAUUGCAUAUUUUAUUUAUCCGUUCUUACAAAAAAAACAAAAAGCCAUAAAAGGAAUACUAAUAGCGAAUACUGGAACCAUGUUUUUCUAUCUAUAUGUGACUAUUCUUUCUUAUAUAUACUUUAGUCC
rnacentral:rRNA from 1 species